GGGACACGUGGUAUCCUGUCUGAAUAUGGGGGGACCAUCCUCCAAGGCUAAAUACUCCUGACUGACCGAUAGUGAACCAGUACCGUGAGGGAAAGGCGAAAAGAACCCCGGCGAGGGGAGUGAAAAAGAACCUGAAACCGUGUACGUACAAGCAGUGGGAGCACGCUUAGGCGUGUGACUGCGUACCUUUUGUAUAAUGGGUCAGCGACUUAUAUUCUGUAGCAAGGUUAACCGAAUAGGGGAGCCGAAGGGAAACCGAGUCUUAACUGGGCGUUAAGUUGCAGGGUAUAGACCCGAAACCCGGUGAUCUAGCCAUGGGCAGGUUGAAGGUUGGGUAACACUAACUGGAGGACCGAACCGACUAAUGUUGAAAAAUUAGCGGAUGACUUGUGGCUGGGGGUGAAAGGCCAAUCAAACCGGGAGAUAGCUGGUUCUCCCCGAAAGCUAUUUAGGUAGCGCCUCGUGAAUUCA
rnacentral:rRNA from 1 species